GUGGGGAAUUUUGGACAAUGGGCGCAAGCCUGAUCCAGCAAUGCCGCGUGUGUGAAGAAGGCCUUCGGGUUGUAAAGCACUUUUGGCAGGAAAGAAAUAGUGCGUGCUAAUACCAUGCGCGAAUGACGGUACCUGCAGAAUAAGCACCGGCUAACUACGUGCCAGCAGCCGCGGUAAUACGUAGGGUGCAAGCGUUAAUCGGAAUUACUGGGCGUAAAGCGUGCGCAGGCGGCUUUGUAAGACGGAUGUGAAAGCCCCGGGCUCAACCUGGGAAGUGCAUUCGUGACUGCAAGGCUAGAGUGUGUCAGAGGGAGGUGGAAUUCCGCGUGUAGCAGUGAAAUGCGUAGAGAUGCGGAGGAACACCGAUGGCGAAGGCAGCCUCCUGGGAUAACACUGACGCUCAGGCACGAAAGCGUGGGGAGCAAACAGGAUUAGAAACCCGUGUAGUCC
rnacentral:rRNA from 1 species